rnacentral:rRNA from 1 species
UACGUAGGUGGCGAGCGUUUGUCCGGAUUUACUGGGCGUAAAGAGCGCGCAGGCGGCUGGUCAAGUCCGAUGUGAAAGCUCCCGGCUUAACUGGGAAAUUGCAUCGGAAACUGAUCGGCUGGAAGGUGGGAGAGGGUAGCGGAAUUCCCGGUGUAGUGGUGAAAUGCGUAGAUAUCUGGAGGAACAUCGGUGGCGAAGGCGGCAUCCUGGACCGGUAUUGACGCUGAGGCGCGAAAGCCAGGGGAGCAAAGCGGGG